GAAAGAUAGGGCAUGCGUCCUAUUAGCUAGUUUGGAGUGGUAACGGCACCCCAAGGCUACCAUAGGUAGGGGUCCUGAGAGGGAGAUCCCCCACACUGGUACUGAGACAGGGACCAGACUCCUACGGGAGGCAGCAGUGAGGAAUAUUGGUCAAUGGUCGGAAGACUGAACCAGCCAUGCCGCGUGCAGGAAGAAUGCCUUAUGGGUUGUAAACUGCUUUUAUAUGGGAAGAAUAAGGAGUACGUGUACUUUGAUGACGGUACCAUAUGAAUAAGCAUCGGCUAACUCCGUGCCAGCAGCCGCGGUAAUACGGAGGAUGCGAGCGUUAUUCGGAAUCAUUGGGUUUAAAGGGUCUGUAGGCGGGCUAUUAAGUCAGGGGUGAAAGGUUUCAGCUUAACUGAGAAAUUGCCUUUGAUACUGGNAGUCUUGAAUAUCUGUGAAGUUCUUGGAAUGUGUAGUGUAGCGGUGAAAUGCUUAGAUAUUACACAGAACACCGAUUGCGGAGGCAGGGGGACUAACAGACGAUUGACGCUGGAGAGACCAAAAGCGGUGGGGAGCGGAACAGGAUUAGAUACCCUGG
rnacentral:rRNA from 1 species